AUAAAACAGCAGAGUUAGUAUGCUACAUAACAUUCUCAAAAAAAGGAUAAAGGUAAAGCUUCACUUUCCUCCUUAUCGAAAUGUAGCACAUUCUAACAGAUAGAAAUGACGCGGCACAAAGAAGAAAUGUUGAAGUGUUUGCUUGUCAAAUAUGUGCACUGGCACUAAACAUCAACAAUAGUUUUUCCAUGUAAUUGUUUUGAAUAUAACCUUCAACAUAGAAAUACUUGCAGUUGCUGGCCAUGCAAUGGUGGAGAAUAUUUCAAGCAUUAUUUUGGAUAAAUGAUAGCAUGAAAAUCAACUCAUUGUACAUUCGUGCAGAUUAUUCACAUUGGUUUAUCAACAGUAAAACAACUGUAACUUUUAACAAAGUUGCUUCGUUUGCUAGUCAAUACUAGCAAAGUUACAUUGUCGUCAAUCAAAUUAAUUUAAAAGUUGCAUUGUUUGCUAGCCAAAUAUGUAGCAGACUGGCACUAGACACCAUCAAUAGUUUUUCCAUGUAAUUUGAAUAUACUCCACAGUGUAGAAAUAUUCACAAAUGCCCUCCAUACAGUGAUGGAAAAAAAAAUCUAGAUCAGACUUUAUAGGCGACAGGUAGGUGAUGUGGCCACAGCCCGUGGAGUUAUGGUGGUUUUCGCUCAGUUUUCUGUAAUAAACGGAGCCUUGUGUGUUUUUCAGGUCCGGUUUUCCUUGUAAAAAUGGAUCAGUUCUUUUCUUUUGUAUGCAGUUGUGGGAGGUCCCCACUAUGUGACAAGGCUUCGGAAAAAAAUGGUAAGAUUUGGAACAUCAAAUUCCCAUGCCCAAUAUCCAAAUCAUGGACCGUAAAAACUCUUACUAAUUCCAUCCAACAAAACAGUCCUAUAUGGUACUCCACUAUACUAGUAUCGGAUUCGGAUUCGGGCCAGACGGAGGAAGGCUUUAUAAGAGCAUGCCGUGGAAGAACCUUUUUUUUUAAGUUUCAAACUAUCCAAAAUUAUGUGGUCGUUCUAAACUUCUAAAGCAUAUGCAACUGAUCAUUACGUCAAACAAACUACAAAUAAACUGCACACUAACCAUACAAGUAAAAUCGUACUCCCUCCGUCCGGAAAAAGUUGUCACCGUGGUCAUUUUGCGAAAAAACCCUUUAGCUUUCUCCGACCAAACCCGCGGUCCAUCGUCUCCGACACAGCGCAGCUCCACUUCGCACAGCACCACCAUGCCGUUCCGCCGCGCCGCUCCACCGUUUCUCCGCGACGCCGGCGACACCUUGCAGCUCCACCACGCCGCGCCGCGAAGCUUCACCGUUCCCCGCGCAGCUCCCCUCUCCCCCACGCACCUCCCCCGUUCCCCUUUCCCCAUCCCUAAAUUUCCCACCUUUUCCCCAUCCCCUUCCUCGACUGCCUCGUUGCUGACGUCGCCGUGCUACGGACGACACGGGGUCGCUCAUGGAUUCACCAACGAGCUGCGCUAUCAUCCUAUCCCCUCUCCUUUUGGGAUGCGGGUGCGGAUCCCCAUUGACCUGUGGAUCCUCCGGUCUUCCCUUCCUGCAACAGCCCAUGGAAGAUGUCUGUGGCGAGCGAGCUGAGCAGGUUGGAUCACCAGAACGGCGCCGCCGUCGCGCCGUCCUUCCAGCCGACCUGCCCGUGUUACUGCUAUGGAAGUGAGUUAAUUCCCAUGCUGAUGCCCAUGCGCAUAUCAUUUCAGUCAAUCAUGCGCAUAACCCUGACGACGACGGCUCCUCCUCAACAUCCCAGGCUCCUCCUCCAUGUCCAAGUGCCCAAGUGCUCUGCAAGUCUGUAGGUCCUUCUCCUCGUGCCCAAAGUCUGGAAUUUUGAUCUUUUUGGAACCAUUUGUCUCUGAAGCAAAAUAAUGUGCAGUAAGAUUCUGCCAUUUAGUGCAGUAAGAUUCUGCCAUUAUGUUAACAUUAUGUGCAGUAAGAUUCUGCCAUUUUGUGUUUCUGCAUUUCAAUUGUCAACGCAUAUUCAUCUGUGUAUUGAACAAAACAUAUAGGCUGUUCUUCGAAAGUUUGAGUAUUGAUUUCAGAAAGAAAAAAAGUGUUGCCGUUAAUGUAUUGACAGUACUGAUGCUGAUGUUAAUUUGGACGCCUUGAAGGAUUUAUUUAUCCUUUUGUGUUAAAAUGGUGGAAGGCUCAAGCAGCCCAAGUUAAGACAUAAAAAUUCAGAUUAGAAACUAGUCCUAGUAAAAAAUUAGAAAAUGCCAAAAUUAAGAAGCAAGUACUCCUAGUGUGGCCACUCUGUAGAUGAAUUAAGAAAUUCCAAAUUGUUUGAAUUGGGACAGUUGUGGUGAAUGGGUCAAGUUGUGCUAGUUAGGUCUGAAACCAUGACAAAAUUCAGAAAGGUCAUGUAAUGAAAUUUGAUUAAUGUUGUCCUACAGUGUACUCAUGUAAUGAAUUUUUUGCAGUAGGGCUAGUCUUUUCAAAUAAUUCCAAGUAAUUCAAAUAAAUCCAAAUAAUUCCAAGUAAUUCAAAUAAAUUACCUAAACAUGCUCAGUUAACAGAACCUGAUUGUUAACAGAACCUAAACAUUUUCUUCUUUCUAAUGGUUGUUCCUGGAGCAAUUAUGGAAAUGGAGUCUGUACAAAUGGAGUGUGGAAAUGCAUAAAGUCUGAACUGACCAAAUGGUACAAUGCUCAGUGUGUAAGUGUUAGGAGCUAGGGUUCUGCCGGUUCUAGGGCGGAGAUUGUAGGGGAAAGAUGGAGGAAGACGAGGACGAGGGCGCGGCGGCCGGCGGCUUGGGCGUCGUCCUUGCGUGGUGGAGAAGAGGCGGUGGCGGCGCAAAAGGCGGCUAGGGUUAGGUCUCUCGGCUCCCUAAGGGAAGCCGAGCAAAUAAUGAUUGCUUCUUGCUUGAUUAGAUUGAUACAUCUCCUCCCCUUAUAUAGAGAAGUUUACUUGACUCCUAAGCAAACGACCCUAAUAACGAUAAGAUAAUUGGACUAAACCCCUAAUAACAAUAAGAUAACUUGGGCCACAGCCCACUGGGCUAAGCCCCUAAUAUGCCGGUCAUAACAGUAAGAUUGAUCAAUUGAUCAAGAUUACAAAAGAAUGCACACAGGGAGCAUUAAAAGGCAUAAAAGGAGAUUUAAUUUCAGGUUGAUUGCUUAGUCCAUCACCAUAGCACACUUUUUUCCUAACACUUUCGACAACCAUAGCACUUUACUGAACCUGUACAUGCACUCCUACUGGAGUACUCCUUCAGUACAUGUCCAAUUGUCCAAUGUAAUGUAGGAGGAGGGUCAACAACAAUUCAAUUGUCCAGUGUCAUGUAGGAGGAGGGUCAACAUCAAAUUACUACAGCUGAAUAAUUUAGUCAACUUCUUAAUCCAAGAAGUUGCAUGGCAUUAUAAUCUAAUCCAAUAAUUUAGCAAGAAGCUUUUAAUCCAACAAAAGUCUGAACCUUCAGGAGCUGCGAGCUAACAAAAGUUUAAAACAUUGACGUAAAGCAAGCAGUAGAGAUAUCAUCCUCACAGACUUGUUCCUUUUUGUUUUCUUAUUAAUAUAAACAUCGUGACUGAAAUUUGAUCUACCACUAGAUCUAGUGACAAGUGAUGAUAAUAGGACUAAACGGGUGCAGCAACAACUUGGUAAAUUCCGUUUUGUCUGAAAAACAGUUAACUGAAACUGUUAACUGUUUCUGGGAUUUCUGAAACUUGGGAAUGCAUCACUGGGACAAUUUACAGUCACUAUACAGAUUAGGAUAUUACUCACAAUUCAAACUUGUGUACUGUCAAAAAGGUUCAGGCUCAAUGCUGCAUUGCUGAAAUUACACAGUAAAUUUUUGGAGUACAGAUUAAUUGAACCCUGAAAUUUUAACUGAAUUUUACAUCCUUCUUCUUCCUGAGGAACACAAGCUCUAGCGGCAGCACAAGGAGCAGGGCAGAGGAGUAGCAGCACUGCCACGUGCACGGGCAGAGGGGUGGCAGCAGAGGCGUCCACCACCACCACCACCACCAGCCGACGGUCCUGCAGAGGAGCUCCGGGCGGAGGAGCAACAGCAGCAAGAGCAGGACCUUCUUCUUCCCCUGCUCGCCGGCGUAGCCGCUGCUGCUGGGACUGGGCGGGCCGGCGUCGCUGCAGCCGUCCUACUCCUCGAGCCCCUGGAACUCCUCCCUCCUCCGGGACGCGGCCGUGCUGCUCCCGCCCCUGGACGCGGCCGUCACGUACCCCUCAUCCUCGUCUUUCCCGGUGAUCUCGUGGCCGGCGGCGGCGAAGUCCGCGGGCAGUCCAGAGGCACGGAGGAAGAGCACGGCCAGGGCCUCGCUGCCGGGGGGCGGAUUGGGGUCCGGAUCGGGGGCCAGGGCCUCGCUGGUGGGGGCUCCAGUUCUUCUCGAUGAACACGGAGCAGCAGGAGCUUGAGCAGUCUCUGUGUGGCCGGCGCAGGUUGGCCGUCGUCGAGCUCUGGGCCCGACAGCUGGUGCCGGUGGUGGCUGGGGCGACCACGGUGCGGGCGGGCGACGGAGGAAGGAGGAAGAAGCAGUGGGGGGCUGAUUAGCAACAGUUUAAAAGGUGGAAGGGUUUUUUCACAAAAUUACAAAUGAACUAAGGUGUCA